rnacentral:tRNA from 1 species
GGGCGGUUGGCUCAGCUGGUGAGAGCGCUACCUUCACACGGUAGAGGUCAUAGGUUCGAAUCCUAUACCGCCCACC